ensembl:antisense Gm26636 predicted gene, 26636
CUCCCUAGGUCACGCCAAUCUCCCCGCGAAGCCACAUCUUCCGCGGAGGCUCCGUUAGGUCAGCCAGUCCCGGCCACUGCGGGGCCCACAGUCCCCAAGCAGGCCCUCGGGUGGCGGGCGAGAAAGAAAGCCGCUCCUCCCAGGUUGUUUCCCACGGACGCAGCAGGGAAAGUGGUCUGGGGAAGGGUUUCCACCGGCUUCACAGGGAAGAAGUGGCUUCGACGUAGUGUUGGACAAGAUAGGAGUGGGGCUUAGGCCACCUCUAGCCCACGGAUGCCAAGAUGAUAUCUACUGGCAGCUCCUCUGAGCUUCUGGCUGUCACCUGCAUCGUCACUGUGUCCAAAAGCAGAAGCCGAGAACGCACAAGGAUGUCAUGACCACCCCGGAAUACUCCUCUCACUCAGCAGAUACCUGCCACUGUGGGGACAUGGUGGGCUUCAGGACACAGAGCAAGCCCGAGGUACACAAUGUAAGUGGCACUGCUUCAACCGACAAGUCAUUUCUCCAGCAGAUUCUGUACUUCAACUGUGUCCUCCAGGCCCAAAAUAGGCGGAACCCUAUUGUCAUCUCAGCUGUGAAUGUGACAUAACACUCCCAUUCAGCCAGCCUGCACUAGCAGCGUCCAUGCAAGGACUCCUUUGUUCAUUCUUCCAACAGAUCUUCACAGAAACCUGUUCUUGCAGAUGUUUACAGGGCAUACAGCAACCAGUGAAAGGCGCGCCCUAGCUAUAGCUCCUGAGAGGAGAGGUCUUAAGGCAGUUCCUGCCUCAGUCAUUUUGGCUCAGGAAUGGCCGUCUCUACUUUGGUCCUUAUUCUACACAAGUGUGAAUGUCAGAUGCAUGCUAGUGACUAAGGAACUGUGGCCCAGCAGAGCAAAGGGGCCUAGCUAUCUAGAAAGCAACAUUACAAGAGCAAUUCACGUCUUAAAAAUCUUGCUUUCCUUUUGAGCCAAUUAAAGAAUUAUCCUAAGAAAAUAAUCAGAAAUGUGCUGGGCAUGGAAGUGCGUGCCUUUAAUACCAGAACUCAGGAGGCAAAGGCAGGCACAUCUUCAAAGUGAGUCCAGGACAGCCAGGGUUCUGUUAUACAGAAAAACCCUGUCUCGAAUCGCCCCACCC